rnacentral:rRNA from 1 species
CCUACGGGUGGCAGCAGUGGGGAAUAUUGCACAAUGGGGGAAACCCUGAUGCAGCGACGCCGCGUGAGCGAUGAAGUAUUUCGGUAUGUAAAGCUCUAUCAGCAGGGAAGAAAAUGACGGUACCUGACUAAGAAGCCCCGGCUAACUACGUGCCAGCAGCCGCGGUAAUACGUAGGGGGCAAGCGUUAUCCGGAUUUACUGGGUGUAAAGGGAGCGUAGACGGCUGUGCAAGCCAGAUGUGAAAGCCCGGGGCUCAACCCCGGGACUGCAUUUGGAACUGGGUGGCUGGAGUGUCGGAGAGGCAGGCGGAAUUCCUAGUGUAGCGGUGAAAUGCGUAGAUAUCGCGCAGAACCCCGAUUGCGAAGGCAGCGUGCCGUGCCGCCACUGACGCUGAGGCACGAAAGCGCGGGGAUCGAACAGGAUUAGAUACCCUGGUAGUC